CUGCACAGGUUUUGAUAAAUCUCCCCAAAAAUGAAUAUAUUAGAGACCAAAAUGCUAUAUUAAUCAUCCAAAAUACUUCACUGACUACAAAUGAUCAAGUUACGUCUCUAUUGCUACUUCACCUUCAUUAACAGUGUUUUUAAAGGACCCGGCGGGGGCACAAGGGUACGAUCCGGAGCUAUCUUGGCAGCCUUCUGUAUAUUUGUUGGAGUGCGUUACGAAGGCGAGAACACAUGAUGAAGAGAUCGGAGCUGCUGAGCCAUCUCUGCUCUGUCUCAUCCUUAAAGUGGUCCCUUAAAUGGGGUCCCCCCACCCGAUAGAUCUACUCAUCAUAGAUCGGAGAUUAUUGAUAAAGUCUUAUCCACAGACAAGAUAACCCUUAAAGUGGAAAGACGAGUCGUGGGG